GGUCUGAUGGCCGAGGGGUUAGGCACUGGUCUGCAAAACCAUUUACAGCGGUUCGAAUCCGCUUCAGACCC
rnacentral:tRNA from 1 species